UACGGAGGGGGCUAGCGUUGUUCGGAAUUACUGGGCGUAAAGCGCACGUAGGCGGCUUUGUAAGUUAGAGGUGAAAGCCCGGAGCUCAACUCCGGAAUUGCCUUUAAGACUGCAUCGCUCGAAAUCAUGGAGAGGUGAGUGGAAUUCCGAGUGUAGAGGUGAAAUUCGUAGAUAUUCGGAAGAACACCAGUGGCGAAGGCGACUCACUGGACAUGUAUUGACGCUGAGGUGCGAAAGCGUGGGGGAGCAAACAGG
rnacentral:rRNA from 1 species